GAUUAACGCUGGCGGCGUGCCUAAUGCAUGCAAGUCGAACGGGGCAUCUUCGGAUGCUCACGUGGCGGACGGGCGAGGAGCACGUGGGGAACCUGCCCUGGGGCGGGGGGUAGCCCGCGGAAACGCGGGGUAAUUCCGCGUACGCUGGUUGGCCGAGUGGGGCGAAUCAGGAGAGUGGAGACACACCCCAGGAGGGGCCUGCGGCCGAUUAGUUAGACGGUGGGGUAACGGCCUACCGUGGCGAUGAUCGGUAGCUGGUUUGAGAGGACGGCCAGCCGCACGGGGACUGAGACACGGCCCCGACUCCUACGGGAGGCAGCAGCAAGGAAUUUUCCGCAAUGGGCGCAAGCCUGACGGAGCAACGCCGCGUGGGGGAUGACGCUUUUCGGAGUGUAAACCCCUUUUGCCGGGGACGAAGGGGUGCAAGCCCUUGACGGUACCCGGCGAAGAAGGGCCGGCUAACUACGUGCCAGCAGCCGCGGUAACACGUAGGGCCCGAGCGUUGUCCGGAGUUAUUGGGCGUAAAGCGCGCGCAGGCGGCGGUCCAAGCCUGGCGUGAAAGCCCCCGGCUCAACCGGGGAGGGUCGUCGGGGACUGGGCCGCUUGAGGGCGGUAGGGGCUGGUGGAAUUCCUGGUGUAGUGGUGAAAUGCGUAGAGAUCAGGAGGAACACCCGUGGCGAAGGCGGCCAGCUGGGCCGACCCUGACGCUGAGGCGCGAAGGCGUGGGGAGCGAACGGGAUUAGAUACCCCGGUAGUCCACGCAGUAAACGAUGCAGACUGGGCGUGGGGGGAGCUUGACCCCCUCCGUGCCGGAGCUAACGCGGGAAGUCUGCCGCCUGGGGAGUACGGCCGCAAGGCUAAAACUCAAAGGAAUUGACGGGGGCCCGCACAAGCGGCGGAGCGUGCGGUUUAAUUCGACGCGACGCGAAGAACCUUACCAAGGCUUGACAUGCCCCUGCAGGUCCCGGAAACGGGUACGGCCUUCGAGGGUGGGGCACAGGUGCUGCAUGGCUGUCGUCAGCUCGUGCCGUGAGGUGUUGGGUUAAGUCCCGCAACGAGCGCAACCCCCGUGGUCAGUUGUGAUUUUCUGGCCAGACUGCCCCAACCGGGGAGGAAGGAGGGGAUGACGUCAAGUCAGCAUGGCCCUUACGCCUUGGGCGACACGCACGCUACAAUGGCCAGGACAGCGGGUAGCCAAGCCGCGAGGUGGAGCAAAUCCCCCAAACCUGGUCGUAGUUCGGAUCGGGGGCUGCAACCCGCCCCCGUGAAGCUGGAGUCGCUAGUAACCGCGGGUCAGCAGUACCGCGGUGAAUAUGUUCCCGGGCCUUGUACACACCGCCCGUCACGUCAUGAAAGCCGGCAACGCCUGAAGCCGGUGGGCCGACCUUCGGGCGGCAGCCGUCGAGGGCGGGGUUGGUGAUUGGGACG
rnacentral:rRNA from 1 species